GCUCCAAUAGCGUAUAUUAAAAUUGUUGCGGUUAAAACGCUCGUAGUUGGAUAUCUGUGAGCGGGUUUCGGUCCUUCCAGUGAAGAUUACACGGAACUCUGCUCGCAUUCGUUCAGGGAGGGUGGAUGCACUUCACUGUGUGACCACAUGAUCUGAAUUUUUACUUUGAGGAAAUGAGAGUGUUCCAAGCAGGCAAUCGC
rnacentral:rRNA from 1 species